AUAAUAAUGAGUUGGGGGUGGUGGUGAAGUGUAAUAGUAUGGUGGAGGAGGUAACUUUACUGGCGGUGGAGGGGAGGAAUAGUAGUAUGGUGGAGGAGGUGACUUAACUGGUGGUGGAGGAGAGGAGUAGUAGUAUGGUGGAGGAGGUGACUUGACUGGUGGUGGAGGGGAAGAGUAGUAGUAAGGUGGAGGAGGUGACUUCACUGGUGGUGGAGGGGAAGAAUAGUAGUACGGUGGUGGAGGUGAUUUAACUGGUGGCGGAGGAGAAUAGUAGUAGUACGGAGGAGGAGGUGACUUAACUGGUGGCGAAGGAGAGGAGUAGUAGUAUGGUGGAGGAGGUGACUUAACAGGUGGUGGUGGGGACUUGUAGUAAUAAGGUGGUGGGGGAGAGGGUGAAGGGGGUGGUGGUGAUUUAUAAUAGUAUGGUGGAGGAGGUGACUUGACUGGUGGUGGAGGGGAGGAGUAGUAGUAUGGUGGAGGAGGUGACUUAACUGGUGGUGGAGGGGAAGAAUAGUAGUACGGUGGAGGAGGUGACUUGACUGGUGGUGGAGGGGAAGAGUAGUAGUAAGGUGGAGGAGGUGACUUCACUGGUGGUGGAGGGGAAGAAUAGUAGUACGGUGGUGGAGGUGAUUUAACUGGUGGCGGAGGAGAAUAGUAGUAGUACGGAGGAGGAGGUGACUUAACUGGUGGCGAAGGAGAGGAGUAGUAGUAUGGUGGAGGAGGUGACUUAACAGGUGGUGGUGGGGACUUGUAGUAAUAAGGUGGUGGGGGAGAAGGUGAAGGGGGUGGUGGUGAUUUAUAAUAGUAUGGUGGAGGUGGUGAUGGAGAAGGUGGUGGGGGAGACUUGUAAUAGUAUGGUGGAGGUGGUGAUGGGGAAGGUGGUGGGGGAGACUUGUAAUAAUAAGGCGGAGGUGGUGAAGGUGAAGGUGGUGGCGGGGAUUUGUAGUAAUAUGGUGGUGGUGGAGAUGGUGAUGGAGGGGGUGGUGACUUGUAUACAUAUGGCGGAGGAGGAGACGGUGAUGGAGGGGGUGGCGACUUGUACACAUACGGAGGUGGAGGAGAUGGUGAAGGAGGUGGUGGUGAUUUAUACACAUAAGGUGGGGGUGGAGAUGGUGAUGGAGGUGGUGGAGACUUGUACUCAUAAGGCGGUGGCGGAGAAGGAGAAGGAGGGGGUGGUGACUUGUACUCGUAAGUUGGUGGUGGGGGAGAAGCAUAUACGUAAGGGUCAGCAGAAACAAUAUUAGCAACAGCCAAAAUGGCCAGUGCCACUAAGAUUUGUGGCACAUGACGACCCUGGCGGGGAUCGCCACCGUUGAGCCUCAUUGCUAGUCGGGAAAAUGCGCCACCAACUCCUCUAAUGUGGCUAUGCAAAUCUGCACACACUUUUAAGUGUGAGAAAAGAGGACGAGAUCGAAGAAGCUUUAGUUGAGAGGUAAUGCCUUAAGAGGAAGCAAAGACCUAAGUAUUUAUAGUAACACUUAGUGAGAGGCAGUCGUUGGUAUGGAGCUGUCA
rnacentral:lncRNA from 1 species